UGGGGAAUCUUGCGCAAUGGGCGAAAGCCUGACGCAGCGACGCCGCGUGAGUGAUGAAGGCCUUCGGGUUGUAAAGCUCUGUGGGGAGAGACGAAUAAGGUCCACCUAAUACGUGGAUCGAUGACGGUAUCUCCUUAGCAAGCACCGGCUAACUCUGUGCCAGCCGCCGCGGUAAGACAGAGGGUGCAAACGUUGUUCGGAAUUACUGGGCGUAAAGCGCGUGUAGGCGGCAGGGCGUGUCGGAUGUGAAAUCCCGUGGCUCAACCACGGAAGUGCACCCGAAACUGCCCAGCUUGAGUCUCGGAGAGGAAGGCGGAAUGCUUGGUGUAGAGGUGAAAUUCGUAGAUAUCAAGCGGAACACCGGUGGCGAAGGCGGCCUUCUGGACGAUGACUGACGCUGAGACGCGAAAGCGUGGGGAGCAAAC
rnacentral:rRNA from 1 species